UUUGAUGGCGACCGGCGCACGGGUGAGUAACACGUAUCCAACCUGCCGAUGACUCGGGGAUAGCCUUUCGAAAGAAAGAUUAAUACCCGAUGGCAUAGUUCUUCCGCAUGGUGGAACUAUUAAAGAAUUUCGGUCAUCGAUGGGGAUGCGUUCCAUUAGGUUGUUGGCGGGGUAACGGCCCACCAAGCCUUCGAUGGAUAGGGGUUCUGAGAGGAAGGUCCCCCACAUUGGAACUGAGACACGGUCCAGACUCCUACGGGAGGCAGCAUG
rnacentral:rRNA from 1 species